UGUGUGUAAUUUAAAGAAAAUAUCAAGUUGUGACCCUGAAAAUAGUAUACUCUCACACACC
rnacentral:tRNA from 1 species